rnacentral:rRNA from 1 species
CUACGGGGCGCACCAGUGGGGAAUAUUGGACAAUGGGGGGAACCCUGAUCCAGCCAUGCCGCGUGUGUGAAGAAGGCCUUUUGGUUGUAAAGCACUUUAAGCGAGGAGGAGGCGCUCUAGGAUAAUACCCUAGAUGCGUGGACGUUACUCGCAGAAUAAGCACCGGCUAACUCUGUGCCAGCAGCCGCGGUAAUACAGAGGGUGCGAGCGUUAAUCGGAUUUACUGGGCGUAAAGCGCGCGUAGGUGGCUAAUUAAGUCAAAUGUGAAAUCCCCGAGCUUAACUUGGGAAUUGCAUUCGAUACUGGUUAGCUUGAGUAUGGGAGAGGAUGGUAGAAUUCCAGGUGUAGCGGUGAAAUGCGUAGAGAUCUGGAGGAAUACCGAUGGCGAAGGCAGCCAUCUGGCCUAAUACUGACACUGAGGUGCGAAAGCAUGGGGAGCAAACAGGAUUAGAUACCCUUGUAGUC